AGAGACAGCAGUCGCCGCGGUAAUACGUAGGUGGCAAGCGUUGUCCGGAAUUAUUGGGCGUAAAGGGCACGCAGGCGGUUUCUUAAGUCUGAUGUGAAAGCCCCCGGCUCAACCGGGGAGGGUCAUUGGAAACUGGGAAACUUGAGUGCAGAAGAGGAGAGUGGAGUUCCACGUGUAGCGGUGAAAUGCGUAGAGAUGUGGAGGAACACCAGUGGCGAAGGCGACUCUCUGGUCUGUAACUGACGCUGAGGAGCGAAAGCGUGGGGAGCGAACAGGAUUAGAUACCCCUGUAGUCCCUGUCUCUUAUAC
rnacentral:rRNA from 1 species